UACACAGAUGACUGUAAGUCGCUUUGAAUAAAAGCGGCUGCUAAAUUGCGUAUA
rfam:Salmo salar isolate Sally breed double haploid chromosome ssa01, whole genome shotgun sequence.